UGAGGUGCUUAGCUGUUAACUAAGUUUUUAUGGGUUUGAGUCCCAUUGAUCUAG
rnacentral:tRNA from 1 species